rnacentral:rRNA from 1 species
AGAAUCAACGCUGGCGGCGUGCCUAACACAUGCAAGUCGCACGAGAAAGGGGAGCAAUCCCUGAGUAAAGUGGCGCACGGGUGAGUAACACGUGAAUGAUCUACCUCCGAGUGGGGAAUAAACUGAGAGAAAUCUUGGCUAAUACCGCAUAACACUUACGAGUCAAAGCAGCAAUGCGCUUGGAGAGGAGUUCGCGGCCGAUUAGCUAGUUGGCGGGGUAAUGGCCCACCAAGGCGAUGAUCGGUA